rnacentral:rRNA from 1 species
UACCAGCACCCCGAGUGGUCGGGACGAUUAUUGGGCCUAAAGCAUCCGUAGCCGGUCCUACAAGUCUUCCGUUAAAUCCACCUGCUUAACAGAUGGGCUGCGGAAGAUACUAUAGGGCUAGGAGGCGGGAGAGGCAAGCGGUACUCAGUGGGUAGGGGUAAAAUCCUCUGAUCCAUUGAAGACCACCAGUGGCGAAGGCGGCUUGCCAGAACGCGCUCGACGGUGAGGGAUGAAAGCUGGGGGAGCAAACCGGG